rnacentral:rRNA from 1 species
GACGAACGCUGGCGGCGUGCCUAAUACAUGCAAGUCGAACGCAGUGGGGACGGGUGAGUAACACGUGGGCAACCUCCCAACGGAGGGGAAAACACUCGGAAACAGGUGCUAAACCGAUAAUGACGGAUUGACCCGGGGGGCAUUAGCUAGUUGGUGGGGUAACGGCCCACCAAGGCGGCGAUGCAUAGCCGACCUGAGAGGGUGGUCGGCCACACUGGGACUGAGACACGGCCCAGACUCCUACGGGAGGCAGCAGUAGGGAAUCUUCGGCAAUGGACGAAAGUCUGACCGAGCCAUGCCGCGUGAGUGAAGAAGGUUUUCGGAUCGUAAAACACUGUUGUUAGAGAAGCGGUAUCUAACCAGAAAGCCACGGCUAACUACGUGCCAGCAGCCGCGGUAAUAC